CAGCAAUGAUCCUCGGGCCUCUACGCGCCGGACGACAUCCACAGUCUGUGAUAAAAUGGGAAUCACCAUGAUCGUUUAAACAUAUUGUCGGUUUAUUUGGCUCGUACGAGUAGACUACUAAAAAGGUGAUUAAUAGUUUCAUCACCUUUCAAAGUAAUAACUUAGUUACGAGGUGUUGAAAUACGAAUGGAGAUCGAUCAAUCUAGUUUACGAUUUUAUUUAUUUUUAUGAGCAUACUUCUUCCGAUAUAAAACACAUUUGUAUAAAAUACGCGCAAAAGUUAUGGACAUUA